rnacentral:lncRNA from 1 species
AUGGAGUACUGCGUGUGUGUGAGUGUGUGUGGAGUGUGUGUGUGUGUGUCCUAUACGUGUAUACCAACGUCUCACUGCUUUCUAUCACUCAGUCUGGUUUUCAUCUCUUUAGGGAAGAGGAUGGGGCAUGAAAGACGAGUGGAAGAAAAGAGAAUUCCUCAGGCUGAAGGAAUAAAAGGCCAGCCCUUUGGAAGCCUCUUCGUUGUCUUCCUGAGUGCAAUGGCUGGGACACGUCUGGGACACAGCUGCAGUAGUGGCACGCUGUGUGUGACUGCUGGAC